rnacentral:rRNA from 1 species
AUUGAACGCUGGCGGCAUGCUUUACACAUGCAAGUCGAACGGUAACAGGGUGCUUGCACCGCUGACGAGUGGCGAACGGGUGAGUAAUGCGUCGGAACGUGCCGAGUAGUGGGGGAUAACGCAGCGAAAGUUGUGCUAAUACCGCAUACGUACUGAGGUAGAAAGUGGGGGACCUUCGGGCCUCACGCUAUUCGAGCGGCCGACGUCUGAUUAGCUAGUAGGUGAGGUAAAGGCACACCUAGGCGACGAUCAGUAGCGGGUCUGAGAGGAUGAUCCGCCACACUGGGACUGAGACACGGCCCAGACUCCUACGGGAGGCAGCAGUGGGGAAUUUUGGACAAUGGGCGAAAGCCUGAUCCAGCCAUGCCGCGUGUCUGAAGAAGGCCUUCGGGUUGUAAAGGACUUUUGUCGGGGAGGAAAUCCCCAGCGUUAAUACCGCUGGGGGAUGACAGUACCUGAAGAAUAAGCACCGGCUAACUACGUGCCAGCAGCCGCCGCCGUAA